UACGUAGGGGGCAAGCGUUGUCCGGAUUCAUUGGGCGUAAAGGGCACGCAGGCGGUCUUGUAAGUUUUGAGUGACAGGCGUCGGCUUAACCGAGGCAGGCCUUGGAAAACUGCAAGACUUGAGGGCUUCAGAGGGACGCGGAAUUCCAGGUGGAGCGGUGAAAUGCGUAGAUAUCUGGAGGAACACCGGUGGCGAAGGCGGCAUCCUGGACCAACACUGACACUGAGGAGCGAAAGCCAGGGGAGCAAACGGG
rnacentral:rRNA from 1 species